rnacentral:rRNA from 1 species
AUGGGGCGCGGGAAGGUGGAGAUGAAGAGGAUCGACAACAAGUUGUCGAGGCAGGCCACCUUCCACAAGCGCCGCCGCGGGCUGCUGAAGAAGGCACAGGAGCUGGCCGUGCUCUGCGACGCGCACCUCGGCGUCCUUGUCUUCUCCAGCACCGGCGAGCUCUACGACUACUGCAGCCCCCAUACCAGCUGGAGUGAGCUAAUUCAGCGCUACAAGGGCAUCACCAACGCCCAGUUGCAGGGGACAAAUCGUGAUGACGAUCAGAAACUGCUGGAGGAUAUCGCAAGGCUGAAGCGUGAGCGUGACCAUCUCGUGGCCAGCCAUCGGAUGAUGACCGGAGAAGACAUGCCAUGUUCAACCACCAAGGAGGAACUCGCCGAUCUGGAGCAGAAGCUAGAGUGCGCGCUGGGUAAAGUCCGUGAAAUGAAGGAUAAAUUUCUGAACCAGCAGUUAGAGGAAUCACGCCACAAGGUGAGCAUCUUGGAGGAGAAGAACAGCCUCAUGCGCCACGUGAUGAACCAUGACGAGCAGCCUCGUGCGGUAGUGGAGGCGGAGCUCAUGGCGCCGAUGAUGCUACCGGCGUCGGCGUUCGGGAGCUUCUUCCCGGAGGCGGAGGAGGAGGGAUUGUCCACGUCUCUGCAGCUGUGGCCGCAGCAGCUCCCCGACGUGCAGGAUCCUAGCCUGCAGUGA